rnacentral:snRNA from 1 species
GUUAAUUUCUUCUUUCCUUACAUCU